rnacentral:rRNA from 1 species
AUUGAACGCUGGCGGCAUGCCUUACACAUGCAAGUCGAACGGCAGCACGGGGCAACCUGGUGGCGAGUGGCGAACGGGUGAGUAAUGCAUCGGAACGUGCCAUUGAGUGGGGGAUAACGUAGCGAAAGUUGCGCUAAUACCGCAUAUUCUGUGAGCAGGAAAGCAGGGGACCGCAAGGCCUUGCGCUCUUUGAGCGGCCGAUGUCAGAUUAGCUAGUUGGUGAGGUAACGGCUUACCAAGGCGACGAUCUGUAGCGGGUCUGAGAGGAUGAUCCGCACACUGGAACUGAGACACGGUCCAGACUCCUACGGGAGGCAGCAGUGGGAAUUUUGGACAAUGGCGCAAGCCUGAUCCAGCCAUGCCGCGUGAGUGAAGAAGGCCUCGGUU